GAAACUCUGGAGAGACCCGUUAAAGGGCGCCGAAGGGGCAAGGCUUAAUUGCUCAAUCUCUCAGGCAAAAGGACAGAGAAU
rnacentral:ncRNA from 1 species